rnacentral:rRNA from 1 species
AGAGUUUGAUCAUGGCUCAGGACGAACGCUGGCGGCGUGGAUUAGGCAUGCAAGUCGCGCGACAGACGAGCUUCGGCUCGUUAUGGAGCGGCGAACGGGUGAGUAACACGUGAACAAUCUGUCCCCACAUUCCGGAUAAUUCGCCGAAAGGCGUUGUAAUACGGGCGAGGAUCCAGAAUGGGCAUCUUUUCUGGAAGGAAGGUAGCAAUACCGUGCGGGGAGGAGUUCGCGGCCUAUCAGGUAGUUGGUGAGGUAAUGGCUCACCAAGCCGACGACGGGUAGCUGGUCUGAGAGGAUGGUCAGCCACAUUGGGACUGAGACACUGCCCAGACUCCUACGGGAGGCUGCAGUCGAGAAUCUUGGGCAAUGCACGAAAGUGUGACCCAGCGACGCCGCGUGGAGGAUGAAGGCCCUUGGGUCGUAAACUCCUUUUGUGAGAGAAGAACGCUCCUUUGGAGCUUGACGGUAUCUCACGAAUAAGCCACGGCUAACUACGUGCCAGCAGCCGCGGUAAUACGUAGGUGGCAAGCGUUGUCCGGAUUUACUGGGCGUAAAGCGUGUGUAGGCGGAUGCUUAAGUAGAAAGUGAAAGGUCGGAGCUCAACUCCAACACUGCUUUCUAUACUGGGCGUCUUGAGUACCGGAGAGGAAGAUGGAACGACACGUGUAGCGGUGAAAUGCGUUGAGAUGUGUCGGAACACCAAUGGCGAAGGCAGUCUUCUGGACGGUGGAGGUUUCUCCUUAAAUCUGACGCUGAGACACGAA